rnacentral:rRNA from 1 species
GCCUAUAUGAAGUCGGAGUUGCUAGUAAUCGCGGAUCAGAAUGCCGCGGUGAAUGCGUUCCCGGGUCUUGUACACACCGCCCGUCACACCAUGGAAGUUGGGGGCGCCCGAAGUUGGUCGAGGAAUAGAUUACCUAAGGCGAAACCAAUGACUGGGGUGAAGUCGUAACAAGGUAUC